ACAGUUCCACUCCAGUUCUAGAUCUGAGAAUAGAAGUUCAAAAUUAAAAACCAAAAAAUAAUAGAAAACCUUCAAAAAUAAAAAAAUAAAAAGUGUUUCGUUGGAAUUUGUAGUCUAAUUUUCGAGUCAGAUUGGUGUUUAGUCGAGUUAUUGGAUGGUUGUUUCUGAUUGCUGGGGGUUUUCUGGCACAGCUGGGUUCAAUCCCAAGUUCAUUUGAACUUGUUCAAGUGGUUUGUGGUCGAUUGUUUGGGUUUUGGUUGGGCUCAAACUCUUCCUGGAUUAUUGAAUCGAUUCAUGGUUGCUGUUUGAUUUCUGUUCGUGACUAUUGAUGACUUCUUCUUAUUCUUCAUUGCAUUUUCACUUUCAGGUACACAUUUGAAUCUCCACUGUAAUUCUGAGUUUGAAAAUGGAAUAAAAUUGACUGCCCGUUUGAUCCUGAAACACGCCUGCCUGGGCUGUUAUAUAUUAGUUGUCCAAUAGAUGUUGGGAUGUAAUUGUUAGCAUAGUUAAUAUCGAC
rnacentral:lncRNA from 1 species